CCUACGGGGGUCAGCAGUGAGGAAUAUUGGUCAAUGGACGAGAGUCUGAACCAGCCAAGUAGCGUGAAGGAUGACUGCCCUAUGGGUUGUAAACUUCUUUUAUAUGGGAAUAAAAUGUUCCACGUGUGGGAUUUUGUAUGUACCAUAUGAAUAAGGAUCGGCUAACUCCGUGCCAGCAGCCGCGGUAAUACGGAGGAUCCAAGCGUUAUCCGGAUUUAUUGGGUUUAAAGGGAGCGUAGGUGGAUUGUUAAGUCAGUUGUGAAAGUUUGCGGCUCAACCGUAAAAUUGCAGUUGAAACUGGCAGUCUUGAGUACAGUAGAGAUGGGCGGAAUUCGUGGUGUAGCGGUGAAAUGCUUAGAUAUCACGAAGAACUCCGAUUGCGAAGGCAGCUUACUGGACUGCAACUGACACUGAGGCUCGAAAGUGUGGGUAUCAAACAGGAUUAGAUACCCGUGUAGUC
rnacentral:rRNA from 1 species